AUUGAACGCUGGCGGCAGGCCUAACACAUGCAAGUCGAGCGGAUGAAGAGAGCUUGCUCUCUGAUUCAGCGGCGGACGGGUGAGUAAUGCCUAGGAAUCUGCCUGGUAGUGGGGGACAACAGUUGGAAACGACUGCUAAUACCGCAUACGUCCUACGGGAGAAAGCAGGGGACCUUCGGGCCUUGCGCUAUCAGAUGAGCCUAGGUCGGAUUAGCUAGUAGGUGAGGUAAUGGCUCACCUAGGCGACGAUCCGUAACUGGUCUGAGAGGAUGAUCAGUCACACUGGAACUGAGACACGGUCCAGACUCCUACGGGAGGCAGCAGUGGGGAAUAUUGGACAAUGGGCGAAAGCCUGAUCCAGCCAUGCCGCGUGUGUGAAGAAGGUCUUCGGAUUGUAAAGCACUUUAAGUUGGGAGGAAGGGCAGUAAGUUAAUACCUUGCUGUUUUGACGUUACCGACAGAAUAAGCACCGGCUAACUUCGUGCCAGCCGCCGCGGUAAUAC
rnacentral:rRNA from 1 species